UACGUAGGGGGCAAGCGUUGUCCGGAUUUAUUGGGCGUAAAGGGCGCGUAGGCGGCACCCUAAGUCAGAUGUGAAAACCCGAGGCUUAACUUCGGGCGUGCAUUUGAAACUGGGGAGCUUGAGUGCAGGAGAGGAAAGCGGAAUUCCUAGUGUAGCGGUGAAAUGCGUAGAUAUUAGGAGGAACACCAGUGGCGAAGGCGGCUUUCUGGACUGUAACUGACGCUGAGGCGCGAAAGCGUGGGGAGCAAACAGG
rnacentral:rRNA from 1 species